GGAGAGGGGAGGACGCACGGAGCCGCGGGGGCUGGCGGGCGCAGCGGCGGCUCCUCCGCCCGGCGUCCCCUGGUCCCCUGGUCCCCUGGUCCCUCCGCCUGCUCGCUCACCAUGCUGGAUAUUUUCAUCCUGAUGUUCUUUGCCAUCAUCGGCCUGGUGAUCCUCUCCUACAUCAUCUACAUGCUCUAGAGGGAUGCGGGGGGGGAGAUGCGGCAUCCCCGCAGCAUCAUCCAGCCGCCGCCUGGUCCCUCGGAACCUUCUGGAAAAGCUUUGACCCCCCCACCGGAGCAACCGGCUGCCCGGCGAGGAGCUCACGGCAUCGGCGCUGCGGGCAAAGGGACAUGGGGGGCCAGGGACACGUCCCCCCGUUGUUCCCGGUGACGCAUCCCUGGGAUGGGGGGGAUGCGACGGGUCCUGCCCCGUGGGACGAACCCUCCCGAGGGCGGGCGCCGGGUUUAAUUUUAGAAAGCGCUUCUAUUUUUAAUGAGAAAUGUUUGGAGGGAAUGGAAUAAAGCCGGAUGGCCCAGGA